rnacentral:rRNA from 1 species
GAUGAACGCUGGCGGCGUGCUUAACACAUGCAAGUCGAACGGUGAAAGAGGAGCUUGCUCCUCUGGAUCAGUGGCGAACGGGUGAGUAACACGUGAGUAACCUGCCCUUGACUCUGGGAUAAGCACUGGAAACGGUGUCUAAUACCGGAUACGAGCUUCAGCCGCAUGGCUAGGAGCUGGAAAGAAUUUCGGUCAAGGGU